rnacentral:rRNA from 1 species
AGUGAACGCUGGCGGUAGGCCUAACACAUGCAAGUCGAACGGCAGCACAGUAAGAGCUUGCUCUUACGGGUGGCGAGUGGCGGACGGGUGAGGAAUACAUCGGAAUCUACUUUUUCGUGGGGGAUAACGUAGGGAAACUUACGCUAAUACCGCAUACGACCUACGGGUGAAAGCAGGGGAUCUUCGGACCUUGCGCGAUUGAAUGAGCCGAUGUCGGAUUAGCUAGUUGGCGGGGUAAAGGCCCACUAAGGCGACGAUCCGUAGCUGGUCUGAGAGGAUGAUCAGCCACACUGGCACUGAGACACGGUCCAGACUCCUACGGGAGGCAGCAGUGGGGAAUAUUGGACAAUGGGCGCAAGCCUGAUCCAGCCAUACCGAGUGGGUGAAGAAGGCCUUCGGGUUGUAAAGCCCUUUUGUUGGGAAAGAAAAGCAGCAGGUUAAUACCCCGCUGUUCUGACGGUACCCAAAGAAUAAGCACCGGCUAACUUCGUG